rnacentral:lncRNA from 1 species
AUCUUACUGAGGACUUUUGUUUGUGUUCAUUAGGGAGAUUGGCCUGUAGUUCUUGUUUUUGGUUGGGUCUUUCUCUGCUUUUGGAAUCAAAGGCUUACUUCCAGGAAUGAUUUCAAUUUCACUAAAGAGUUUGAGAAGUAGUGGCUCUUCCCUAAAUUUCUUGUAGAAUUCAACAGUGAAGCAAUGAGGACCUUGGCUUUUCUUUGUUGUACUGGGGAUCGAACUCUGGCCCUUGCGCUUGCAAGGCAGGCGGCAAAACCACUGAGCUAAAUCUCCAGCCCUGAAUUGAUGUUCUUGACAGGCCAGAAUUAGAUAAAGAUAGGGUAUUCAGCUGGUGUAGCAGUUUCUGGG